rnacentral:rRNA from 1 species
AACGAACGCUGGCGGCAGGCUUAACACAUGCAAGUCGAGCGCCCCGCAAGGGGAGCGGCAGACGGGUGAGUAACGCGUGGGAACGUACCCUUUACUACGGAAUAACGCAGGGAAACUUGUGCUAAUACCGUAUGUGCCCUUCGGGGGAAAGAUUUAUCGGUAGGGGAUCGGCCCGCGUUGGAUUAGCUAGUUGGUGGGGUAAAGGCCUACCAAGGCGACGAUCCAUAGCUGGUCUGAGAGGAUGAUCAGCCACAUUGGGACUGAGACACGGCCCAAACUCCUACGGGAGGCAGCAG